rnacentral:rRNA from 1 species
AGAGUUUGAUCCUGGCUCAGAUUGAACGUUGGCGGCAGGCCUAAAACAUGCAAGUCGAACGGUAACAGCGGAAGCUUGCUUCCGGCUGACGAGUGGCGGACGGGUGAGUAACACGUAGGAAUCUACCUAGUAGUGGGGGACAACCCGGGGAAACCCGGGCUAAUACCGCAUACGCUCUACGGAGGAAAGCAGGGGAUCUUCGGACCUUGCGCUAUUGGAGGAGCCUGCGUCGGAUUAGCUAGUUGGUGGGGUAAAGGCCUACCAAGGCGACGAUCCGUAGCUGGUCUGAGAGGACGAUCAGCCACACUGGAACUGAGACACGGUCCAGACUCCUACGGGAGGCAGCAGUUAGGAAUCUUGGGCAAUGGGCGCAAGCCUGACCCAGCCAUGCCGCGUGUGUGAAGAAGGCCUUCGGGUUGUAAAGCACUUUCAGCGGUGAAGAAAAGCUCAGGGCUAAUACCCCUUGAGUCUUUGACGUUAACCACAGAAGAAGCACCCGGCUAACUCUUGUGCCAGCAGCCGCGGUA